GAUGAACGCUGGCGGCGUGCUUAACACAUGCAAGUCGAACGGAAAGGCCCAAGCUUGCUUGGGUACUCGAGUGGCGAACGGGUGAGUAACACGUGGGUGAUCUGCCCUUCACUUCGGGAUAAGCCUGGGAAACUGGGUCUAAUACCGGAUAGGACGAUGGGUUGGAUGCCAUUGUGGAAAGUUUUUCCGGCGUGGGAUGAGCUCGCGGCCUAUCAGCUUGUUGUUGGGGUAAUGGCAUAGCAAAGCGUCGACGGGUAGCCGGCCUGAGAGGGUGUACGGGCACAUUGGGACUGAGAGACGGCCCAGAGUCCUGCGGGAGGCAGCAGGGGGGAAUAUUGCACAAUGGGCGCAAGCCUGAGGCAGCGACGCCGCGUGGGGGAUGACGGCCUUCGGGUUGUAAACUCCUUUCGCUAGGGAAGAGGCGUUUUUGUGACGGUACCUGGAGAAGAAGCACCGGCUAACUACGUG
rnacentral:rRNA from 1 species